CAAAAGUAAAGUGAGAGAAAAGACCUAACACAAAAACAAGACAAAAAGCAGAAACUAAACCUGCAGAUCUACCUGAACAGGUGAUCUCCACAGCUUUACCAGGAGGACAGGUCCAUCUUGUGAGCUGUGAACUUCUACAUUUCAGGAGAGCAGACUCAUGACCUUCACAGAGGAACUCUCUGCUCCACUCUGGAGCCUCUGUUUCUCCAUAGAGCGCCCCCUGGAGGCCUGAUGGAGGCCCACAUCCCAGCUCCCUACAGACCACCUCUGCAUCCUGCUGGUCAAAGUCAUCUUCAUUCACUGAGGACCACGAGCCGUUCAGCAUCACCUCCAGCCUGCCUGAGCACAGAUGGUUCACCAGCCUGAUGGAGUCUG